UAGGGCUGUUAUCUGUUAUCUAGGUGUGAGGAAGGGGAUUUGGGUGGGAAAGGAGAGGGGAGUCGCUGAAUGGAAAGUGAGUGAGGAGGAAAGAGAUAAAGGAUGCUGAGGAGAAAGGCAGCAGGUUUGACCGAGAUUCCCAGCUGCCCAGUCUCUGAAUAUCAGAACUUAUUUACAUGCUGUCGGGAGAGGGGCAGAGAGCAGAACUUUCCAAAGCAUGAAGUUCAAGAGUCCGAAUAUCUGAUUCUACUCCUUUUCAAAACUGUGUCACCAAAUCCUGUUCAGUUCCUAAAGCCCCACCCUCGGAUUCCCAUGUGCCUGUCUUCAAACAUGCUCCUACUGUGUGCAACAUGAAAUCAACUGAAAAGUCUUCAGAAGGCAGAUAUUCAAAGAAACUUGCUACAGAGCACAGAAGUUGUAUAAUAGUGAUCCGAUUGAAGCAGAAUGUUGUGUAUAAGGAGUUGAAAGAACACUAAAAUUGGUGGCAACCUUGCCACUUGCAAGCUUCGUGAUUUAAGUUCUCUAUGACAGGUUGGCUCCUGUUGAGUCAAAGGAGCCAGGAGGUGGAGGCUGAGAAGAUUUAGAAGCUCUGAUGAAGUGGAUGGAGAACAGAACCAACUGUGGUUAUGUAGAAGUGUGGGGCAGCCCUGAGGGUCAGCUGACAUCAGGAAUCAUGUGUUGGUGAUGGAGGAGCCAGAUAGGAUGGUAAUUUCCUAUGAAAUCUGAGUGGGAGAAGAUCAGAAGGGAACACUAAAGAUAGAGACAGAAGGCAGAAACUUGAUGGAGCCAGGUCAUGGAGCAGGCAGGAGGAGAUGGGAGCAAAGGUAAAAUGCGUCCUCAGGGCAACUCUGUGAGAUGGAAACUGAGUGAAGCUGAAGGAGGUGGAAAUUUGCUCCAGGGAAACAGCUCUCACGCGACAAAGGCGGAAGGCAAACCUAGGUCUCGCUGACUCCAAGUCUGUGUUCUUUCCAUCACUAGGGAAGAAGAGGCACAUGAAUGACUGAAACUAAAAACAAACGUUAAAACGCUAUCAAUUUUGCACAUAAUAGAAGGGAGAAAUUAUGAUCACUACAAUGCUGGGAAUGUACAUCUUAACAUAUUGCUCCUAAUUUCUUAUCAGCAGAUUUUAAAAAUGCAUCUAUCUAGGUUUGCUUUAAAAAUAGAUCAGUUAGAAGGCAAAAUUGUACGAGUGGAUAUUAUUAAUGAUACUGAAUUUCCAUGUAUGUGAACUAGCAUUGAGUGGCACUUUGAUAACACUCAUCUAAUCCUAUUUAGUGCCCUUUCUCUCUUUUGCUGUCAAAGCCUAGGUACGGGUUCGUGCUUUGUCUCAUAACCUCUUGGUUAAAAUGUAACA